GUCCACACCCUAAACUAUGCAGACUGGAUGUUGGGCGGCAAUAGUUCAGCAUCUGAGGGAAACCAUUAAGUCUGCCACCUGGGGAGUACGCCAGCAACGGUGAAACUCAAAGGAAUUGACGGGGGGUCCGCACAAGCGGUGGAGUAUGUGGUUUAAUUCGAUGAUACGCGAGGAACCUUACCUGGGCUCGAAUGUUACCGCUAAACCUGUUGAAAGAUGGGGUUCCAGCAAUGGAGAGGUAGCAAGGUGCUGCAUGGUUGUCGU
rnacentral:rRNA from 1 species